UGGGGAAUUUUGGACAAUGGGCGAAAGCCUGAUCCAGCAAUGCCGCGUGUGUGAAGAAGGCCUUCGGGUUGUAAAGCACUUUUGUCCGGAAAGAAAUCCUCUGGGUUAAUACCUCGGGGGGAGUGACGGUACCGGAAGAAUAAGCACCGGCUAACUACGUGCCAGCAGCCGCGGUAAUACGUAGGGUGCAAGCGUUAAUCGGAAUUACUGGGCGUAAAGCGUGCGCAGGCGGUUUUGUAAGACGGAUGUGAAAUCCCCGGGCUUAACCUGGGAACUGCAUUCGUGACUGCAAGGCUAGAGUAUGGCAGAGGGGGGUUAGAAUUCCACGUGUAGCAGUGAAAUGCGUAGAGAUGUGGAGGAAUACCGAUGGCGAAGGCAGCCCCCUGGGCCAAUACUGACGCUCAUGCACGAAAGCGUGGGGAGCAAACAGGAUUAGAUACCCUGGUAGUCCACGCCCUAAACGAUGUCAACUAGUUGUUGGGGAUUCAUUUCCUUAGUAACGUAGCUAACGCGUGAAGUUGACCGCCUGGGGAGUACGGUCGCAAGAUUAAAACUCAAAUGAAUUGACGGGGUCAUAGCUGUUUCC
rnacentral:rRNA from 1 species